GUGCUCAUCUAGACAGCACAUUUGCUAACCUUGGCAUGAUAUGGAGACUAGCAUGGCCCUCUGAGCAAGGAUGACAUGCAGAUUCAUGAAGCGUUCCUUAUUUUU
rnacentral:snRNA from 1 species